UUGGAAGUAAAAGUCGUAACAAGGUUUCCACAGGUGAACUUGCAGGUGGAUCACUG
rnacentral:rRNA from 1 species